GACGAACGCUGGCGGCGUGCCUAAUACAUGCAAGUCGAACGCAGUGGGGACGGGUGAGUAACACGUGGGUAACCUCCCAUCAGAGGGGAUAACACUUGGAAACAGGUGCUAAACCGAUACUGAUGGAUGAACCCGCGGUGCAUUAGCUAGUUGGUGGGGUAACGGCUCACCAAGGCCACGAUGCAUAGCCGACCUGAGAGGGUGACCGGCCACACUGGGACUGAGACACGGUCCAGACUCCUACGGGAGGCAGCAGUAGGGAAUCUUCGGCAAUGGACGAAAGCCUGAUCGAGCAAUGCCGCGUGAGUGAAGAAGGUUUUCGGAUUGUAAAGUUCUGUUGUUAGAGAAGCGGUAUUCAACCAGAAAGCCACGGCUAACUACGUGCCAGCAGCCGCGGUAAUUC
rnacentral:rRNA from 1 species